GAGUAGGGAUAUUAGAAUUACUUAGAACUUAUUUUUUUCUUCGUGUGCAAUAUAUACAUCAGUAUAAGUAUAUGUACAUAAGUUAAAACGUCACGAUCUGUUCGUAGGUAAUCAUGGAAUCGUAUUCAUCCAAGGAUCUUGAGGAAUGGGAAAAUUACAAAACUCAAUUCAAUA